rnacentral:rRNA from 1 species
AGCGAACGCUGGCGGCAGGCUUAACACAUGCAAGUCGAGCGGGCACUUCGGUGUCAGCGGCAGACGGGUGAGUAACACGUGGGAACGUACCCUUUGGUUCGGAAUAACGCUGGGAAACUAGCGCUAAUACCGGAUACGCCCUUUUGGGGAAAGGCUUGCUGCCGCAGGAUCGGCGCGCGUCUGAUUAGCUAGUUGGUGGGGUAAUGGCCUACCAAGGCGACGAUCAGUAGCUGGUCUGAGAGGAUGAUCAGCCACACUGGGACUGAGACACGGCCCAGACUCCUACGGGAGGCAGCAGUUGGGAAUAUUGGACAAGGGGCGCAAGCCUGAUCCAGCCAUGCCGCGUGAGUGAUGAAGGCCUUAGGGUUGUAAAGCUCUUUUGUCCGGGACGAUAAUGACGGUACCGGAAGAAUAAGCCCCGGCUAACUUCGUG